GUGGGUAUAGCUCAGUGGUAGAGUACAUGCUUAGCAUACACAAGGUCUCAGGUUCAAUCCCUGUACCCCCA
rnacentral:tRNA from 1 species